ACAUAUGGUCAUCAGAUGAACCGCAGUGUCUAGACUCCGCACCUGAAUCCUACUACACAACGUCGGCUACGUAUUAUUCUCCUCCACCGACCACAACUUCCUGCUUCCUACUACCCAGUUGAUUAUGGUUAUAAUGCCCAGAAGAAAAGGCAGACUCCUCAGGCUCCAGAAUAUUAUGCUACGACUCCUUGUUAUUGUCCACCAGCAACGACACCGGCGUCGUACUACCAGGAGUCAUACCCGACUGUUGCCCCGUAC
rnacentral:lncRNA from 1 species